AGCUUAGGGAAUAGGGGGUUGGGGGAUCUCAAUAUGCCUAUGCACCAUGAAUAGGGAGGAGAGAGAGAGAGGAACAUUAACGACAAUGGUAGUGUCACACGAUGGAAGAGGGGUGGCAGGAAGAAGAGAGAUGUGAGGAGAGAGAGCAUGGUACUCUUUUGGUUGUGGAGAGGUGUGGAUCAAUAAUGGUAUGACGAUGGAUGAUGAGGGGCAUUGUUGGAUGUGACAAAUGGAGGAGGGGCAACAUUGGCGAUGGUGGAUAGAUG
rnacentral:lncRNA from 1 species